AACUAGUUCGUUUUGACUUUACAAAAUCUUAAGCAAAGAAAUUUAAAGUUUGAAUAUAUACUACCUUCUUUAAAUAUUUUACUAAUGAUAAUAAUGUAGUUCUUUUUUUUUUUCACGUCAAAGGUACAGUUGAUGGAGUCCAAGGUUCCCUUGGCAAGGGGCACAGUUACCUGGCACACUGUACAUAUGGAAUUGUAAAGAUCAUCUACGAAAUUCAACUUUCACAUUUUAGUCAAACUCAAAAACUUAAGAGAAAUAUUCAAACAUACCAUAUCUUCAGUUACAACUGAAUGAAUGUAACAUUUUACCAGAUAAAAAGCUCGAACUGAAGUAUGAGAAACCUUCAUACACUGUGCUAGCAUUGGUCUCUUUAGCUGAAAGCCAGUCAUCAAUACUUUAAACACAGCAGUUUAGAAGAUGAGCGUCCAAAACAGGUGACUUGGUUGUAGUCCAUGACGUAGCAAUUCAAUGCCACUGGCAUCAUAAUGCGGUGGAUAACAAGUGUAUCUCCGUAUCUUAGUCAGACUUGUCUUUCUUCUUUCCUGUUAAGGGCACUUUGUUGACAAAGGCAGACCCCACCGCUGUGACACCUCCAGCCACAGCGGACACGCCCCCUCUCACCAGCCCUAUUCCCAUGGAAGGCACAGUUGUAACAGCUGUUUUGGUCACCUCCAAACUCUUUCCACAAAUCCAAGCCACACCACCUAUGGUGGCGCCAACAGCUUCCUUAGUGACACUGAAGAUAACCCCAGUCACACGGGACAACAUGCCUGACUGCUGCGGAUGGUCCUUCACGGCACCUUCUGGCGGUUCAUCACUAAGGCCCCCAAAAUCGAUUAUCAGAGAAGAGAAUGCACAGACUUAUGGAAGAAAUGGAAUCUUUUAGAGCGCAGCUGUUUGCACCUGGUUACGUUUAACUGGAACACACAUGAGAAUGCAAAACCUUCUUUGUGCCCAGGACCUCAACUUCUUGUGAUCGUCACCAGUUAUCUCUUUUCUUUUUUGGGUAUCUACAUUCAUUUCUUUCUACUGUCUCCUUUUCCACCUAUAAACAAGCUCAAGUUUCUCCCAUCUUAUCCCCUGCCCCCACUAUCUCUCUAGGUAUUAACCUUUUUCUUUUCCUUCAUUCAAAAUUCUUGAAAGAGGUAUCUAAUGUCUCACCUAUCAUCUUCAGCACUCUAUAAUCCAUUUUUACCCUUACUACUGCACUGAAAUUGCUUUUAAUGAAAUCACUAAUGACCUGUGUAUUGCUAAACUCAAUAUACUUGAACCUCUGAGCUUGCAUUUGAUAAUUCUUUUAUCUCGAUAUUUUUUAGAAAUCUCAUUUCCUCAAACAUUUGUUUUAUAUUUUGGUGUUCCCAGGUUUUCUUCUUGGUCUUUUCCUUAAGUCAAACCCACUCAGGUUACACCAUGGUGAAGUGUUCAACUGCCAGCACUAGCAAUAAAUAGUAACUCUGAACCCCCAAUGUUAGUACUUCAGAGAACAAACCAAUGGCAGAGAGAUCAUUCACACUGAACAUAUUCUAUUAUGAAGGGCACAGUGAUUUUUACUCAUUAGCAAUACAGUUAUUUUGGAUUUGAAUUUGUAUUACCAGAUAGUCACAGCUCUCCCAGAGCCAAUAUCUACUGAUCCUGUGAAUGCACUAUGCAUGCCUGACAUAUCCCAGGAGUAAUGUUCAUGUUCAGUAAUAUCAAUUUUCAACUAAAGAAGUAAAGCAAUGGGCUGACACAAACUGUAUUUAUUCCUACAAGCAGAAUGAAUGUAAGGGCCCAGAAACUAAGGUUUGGAGAUGGAUUAGAUUUAAAGACCUAAUCUCAGAAUUUUUGCUUUAUUCAUAAUGACAAUUCUUUACCAUCUUAAAAGUUUUAGUUUCUUAAAAGAAAAUUGCUUCUACCUGUGCACCUAAGAUGUGAAAUGGGAGCUAAGAGACCACCACCUGACCAUUGUGAAUUUCUUUUCUAAUAGAAUGCCCCUUCUCCCAACAUCACAGUGUUGGCAAGAGGGGGGAUGGAACUGACAGAACUGGCAAAGCAUAAUGGAAGCUUGGAGAGAAAUAUGAGUGGACCACAGUACCCUUCGGGUUACAAAGUACAGAUUAUCUUAUACUACCACGACCAGUGGUUAGGGCUAAUGGAUGAAUAUCACAAUACUAAAUGAGCAAUCCCAUCCACAGUUC
rnacentral:lncRNA from 1 species